UGGGAUGUGUCCGAGCUCCUCCACGUCCAGCCGCUAGAGGACAGCAGCGGGGUGUCCCACAGCCAGCUGCUGGUCACUUGUCACAGCCCGCAGGCACCGCGGCUGUCCGCCCGGGUACAAACACACCCAGCUUCCCAGAAAGUAGUCUGUACCCAUCAGAGCAAGGAACUGAUAGCUCAGCAUCAGUGUGCCUGAGUUACAGCUCUCUCCUGAUGACAACAACUCGCAGGCUGGGGAAGGGAUAUACAUCACCUGUAUGACCAUACAGCCCUCUGGAAGAAGUUAUUUCCUCUUACGGCUGAUUUAUCGUUAGCGAGGUUCAGAUCUAUUUGCAGACCCUGCUCCCACCGAAGUCCCUGGACAUAUGCGCUCGCCGCUGAAAUAAGCUGAAACUGAAUCUCCAGGGAAGCCAGCUGGGUCUACAGGAGGAGAAAUUUCAUAUAGGAGCAGCUUGACCUCAAGACAGUUCCUGGUGCAAGCAGUGUGGGUGCAGGCAGUGAAAACAGAGCAGUGAACUCAUAUCCGAAAACUGUGGCUGCCAGGAUGACAUCGCACCCUGCAAGCCGGGGACAUCCAUGAGCACCACUCCUAACUAACUGGGCUGCUGCAAACAGGUAAAAGUGCUCACACCAGCCAAAGCAAAAGAUGACUCCGUGUUUGUUUAAAGCUUGCUUUCCUUUCUUUAGCUUGCACAGGACUUUCUCUCCCUUUUCACCAGUUUUGAGCAUUCAAACCUUAAAACCAGGCCCAAACCUAGUGGAGAAAAAGACACCUGGUACCAACUCUCUUUUCAGAUAGACCCAGAAGAUUUGGUUAGCCUAUCACUUUGUUGUUCUUGAUUAUCAAAAGCUAUUACUAUUUUAUAAUUACAUUUAUAUUUUAUAGAAAUUUGAAAUUUCAUACAUUAGCACAAGGUUAGAUGCCUCACUUGAAUAAUAGCUUAUGAUGCUUCCAUCUGUCAAAUGCACUAAGUAAAUUUUUUUCAGUUGUACUAAUGGAGCUGUUGAGUAUAAUUCUAGUAACCAUUUAAAAACACAUUAAAACUCUUUGCCAUAUUGAAACAUUUUAACAUUAAGUCAGACCUUGUGUUUCAGUUAGAGGUGAUUUUCACCUCCAGAGAAUGUUUUCACGCAUCAUAGGAGGUUACUUAUUACUUGUAGGAAUUUAUUACAUUUGCUUGCUUGCUUCUUGACAAUAUAUUCUGUAUCUGUCAUCCAUUUUUAUAAAUGUCCAAUGAAUUUUAAAUUAAACUACAUUUGGGAAAUAAUUUUCUGUCUGUUUCAAUAAAUCACAAUAUUCUA